CUCGGUGCUUUUAGCGAAGUGGGUACACCUGUUCCCAUUCCGAACACAGAAGUUAAGCACUUCAGCGCCGAUGGUAGCCGCAAGGCAAGAGUAGGUCAGUGCCGAGA
rnacentral:rRNA from 1 species